rnacentral:rRNA from 1 species
AUUGAACGCUGGCGGCAGGCCUAACACAUGCAAGUCGAACGAGUGGCGGACGGGUGAGUAAUGUCUGGGAAACUGCCUGAUGGAGGGGGCUAACUACUGGAAACGGUAGCUAAUACCGCAUACCAUCGGAUGUGCCCACAUGGGAUUAGCUAGUAGGUGGGGCAAAGGCUCACCUAGGAGACGAUCCCUAGCUGGUCUGAGAGGAUGACCAGCCACACUGGUACUGCGACACGGUCCAGACUCCGACGGGAGGCAGCAGUGGGGAAUAUUGCACAAUGGACGCAAGCCUGAUGCAGCCAUGGCGCGUGUAUGAAGAAGGCCUUCGGGUUGUAAAGAACUUUCAGCGGGGAAGCGUUACCCGCAGAGGAAGCACCGGCUAACUACGUGCCAGCAGCCGCGGUAAUUC